UUAAUUGAAGCUAAAAUAGAAGCAUUUCACUGUUAAUGAAAAAAAUGGAAAACCCCAAUUAAA
rnacentral:tRNA from 1 species